rnacentral:lncRNA from 1 species
UUGGCUGCACAUUGUGAACUACUUCAGUGAGUACACCAGGCUAUAUCUUCAGACACAACUAACUCCUGUAAGCAACCUCGUCUGAACACAUAAACGUAAAUCUUAGUUUCAACGAUGGAAUAUUUGCUCGAUCAGCUGCACUAAAACUGAACACUAAUUCUUGCAGGCGCAGCUGACCUAUAUGCGCCAUCAAUUGCAUAUGAGGUUAUGUCCAUGAGGGGGAACAUGGGUGAGCUGCUAGAUUUCAUGGUCGAGGAGGUGCUGCCAUUCUAAGGUGGCAUGAGAGGGGGCAGAUCAUUUUGGGCGAAAAUCAUGCGAGCCAGUCAUAAGAAUGUUCGUUUGCACAAACUUGCGAGGAGGUGGAUCUGGGGAUGUUAGUUGCCAUCCCGCACAUAUGUGGUGUGGUAAUGGUUCCCAUAUUUUGCUAUCAAUAUAAAACUGAAGCCGAAACGUGAAGCAAUUUAGCUUGCACCCCAUGCACUUGGUGUGCAAGUGAUUGUGGAUCAUCGUCGCUGCCAUCUAUUAUUUAGUGAGCGAGUGAU